rnacentral:rRNA from 1 species
AUACGUAGGUGACAAGCGUUAUCCGGAUUUACUGGGCGUAAAGGGCGUGUAGGCGGUCUUGCAAGUCAGAAGUGAAAUUCCUGAGCUCAACUCGGGCGCUGCUUCUGAAACUGCAGGACUUGAGUGCUGGAGGGGAUAGCGGAAUUCCUAGUGGAGCGGUAAAAUGCGCAGAUAUUAGGAAGAACUCCGAUCGCGAAGGCGGCCUGCCGGGCCGCGACUGACGCUGAAGCUCGAAGGUGCGGGUAUCGAACAGGAUUAGAUACCCUGGUAGUCCGCACAGUAAACGAUGGAUACUCGCUGUCGGCGAUAUACGGUCGGUGGCCAAGCGAAAGCGUUAAGUAUCCCACCUGGGGAGUACGCCGGCAACGGUGAAACUCAAAUGAAUUGACGGGG